UGCGAGUCAGCCCUUGAUGUCCUGCUCACUU
rnacentral:piRNA from 1 species